rnacentral:miRNA from 1 species
AGGUUGGUGCAAAAGUAAUCGCGGUUUUUGCCAUUACUUUUAAUGGCAAGAAUAGCGAUUACUUGUGCGCCGACCUA